rnacentral:rRNA from 1 species
AUGAUUGGAUUUUACAACACAAACUACUAUAUUUACACAGUAUACAUCAACAGAUCUCAAACAAAACUAUAUUUCACAAGCCAAAUGGAUUACACUUCAGUACAGUACAUGAGUUCGAUCUGGACGCCGCGCCUCCCUGCAACCAUACUGUGUGCCCGUGCUCACCGGAGCAGCAGCAACCAACAGCCACGCCUUCUCCUUCCUUUCUCCAUGGACAAGAGCACACCAACAGCACUAUGGACGCCCGAGAGGAGCUCAAGCCGUCCGCCACCAAGGCGGAGCUCGCCACCCUCGUCCGGGCGCUGGAUCCGGUCGCCAAUCCCUGGAUCCAUUGGACCCCAUCAACUCCGUCAGCGCCAAGCCCCACCGCGGACAAAGGGGAGCAGCGGAGGCGGAGCCCCGCGGAUUGAGAGAAGGGAGAGAGGGAGGAAGAUGAGAGCAGUGGAGGCGGACGCCGACGGCGUGCGGAGGCCAGUGUCCCGCGGAGACGGGCCGAGGCCAGUGUUCCGCGGAGACGGGCCGAGGCCAGAUGCGGGCGGACGCCGGCGGCACGCGAAGGCCAGUGUCGCGCGGAGACGAGCCGAGGCCAGAUGCGGGCGGAGGCCGACGGCGCGCGGAGACAGGCAGAGGACGUAUGCGGGCGUAGGCGGCGGCGCGUGUAGACGGGCAGAGCCGGAUGCGGGCGGAGGCCGGCGGCGCGUGGAGACGGGCGGAGCCGGGCAGAGGCCGGCAGCGGGCGACUGCUGGUGCUCCGCUCCGGCGAGCUGCUGGUGCUCCAGCCCCUUGUGCCGCACGAGAUGGGUUUGGGCGAGGGGGCGUGGGGUGUGUGGUGUGAUAGCAUGCGUGGGUUGUGGAGGACGUGGGGUCGUGGGAUUGUGUGGUGUGCGUGGUGGGUGGUGGAAGAUCUCGAGUGAGUGGGUUGAGAUGAUGCCACGUCAGUGA